rnacentral:misc_RNA from 1 species
AACCUUAUGGACCUGCGGGCGUAUACCUGCGGAGGGAUCAUUACAAAAGGCGCCUUCGGGCGCUGCCUGUCUUACAGGUUAUCCUUGCAUUUUGCACUUUUUGUUGCCUCGGCGGGUUCGCCCGCCAGCAGAGGCCCCCAUAAACUCUUUGCAAUUGCGGUAUCAGUCUGAAAACAAACACAAUCAAUUAAAACUUUCAGCAAUGGAUCU